rnacentral:rRNA from 1 species
AUGGCUUUGAUCUACUCGCCCAUUGUGCUUGACAUCCUCGGUUCCGAGUUCGACGACUUCACUUUCCUCCCAGCCGAUGGCACGCGCGGCGGCAUUCUUCUCGCCUGGAAGAGCAGGGUUGUCACGAUCUCAGACCCCCUGCUCACCCAGAACGCGCUCAUGGCCAAGGUGUCCGCGGCCUCCGGGACGCCGUGGUGGCUGACGACGGUCUACGGACCCCAGGAUGACACGGACAAAAUCCUAUUCCUCCAGGAAUUGCGCGAUAUACGCGCGGCUUGCCCUGGCCCAUGGAUGCUAUGUGGAGAUUUCAAUCUCAUAUACCGCGCCGAGGACAAAAACAUGGGUGGCCUGCAUCAGCGCAUGAUGUGA